ACACAAUUGUGCAUGUUUUCUCUUCUAUGCAUUAAAUGACAAAUGGAGAAAAGUUGUACUUUAUAGACUAGGUAUAGACUUUGGUGCAUGCUAGGUAGGUUAGGUAAUAAUUAUGUCAUGUGAACUUAAGACUUUUUGGUCUUGGUUGUUGGCAUAGUUGCUAGUGUAUCCCUAUAACUAGAUGCAAUAUUUGUGCAUUUAGUAAUGCUUAGAAAGUGGGAAUGUAAGCAUCAUAGAAGCAUCCAAGGGGAGAGCA
rnacentral:lncRNA from 1 species